rnacentral:rRNA from 1 species
UACGGGGGGGGCAAGCGUUGUUCGGAAUUACUGGGCGUAAAGGGCUCGUAGGCGGCCAACUAAGUCAGACGUGAAAUCCCUCGGCUUAACCGGGGAACUGCGUCUGAUACUGGAUGGCUUGAAUCCGGGAGAGGGAUGCGGAAUCCCAGGUGUAGCGGUGAAAUGCGUAGAUAUCUGGAGGAACACCGGUGGCGAAGGCGGCAUCCUGGACCGGCAUUGACGCUGAGGAGCGAAAGCCAGGGGAGCAAACGGG